rnacentral:lncRNA from 1 species
CCUAAGUAGAAAGAUAAAUAACUUUUUAAUAAUAAUAAUAAUUUUUUUAUCAUGGCGUAGUGUUGUGUCCUUUCAGUCAUUGGAGUUGAAAUCGUGGGUCUUUCAGACUGUCAGUCCUUGAACUGAUAUAAAAGAAGAAGUAUAGUUGAGUAACAUCAUCAAUGACCUAACUUGAUCAGUUUAGGGCCCAUAUGCCGGACUGAAUGGGACAGUCUUAUAUAAGGAUACACAACGCCACUAUGCGACAAUACAUCUCUCCAUGCUUUGUCAAUACUUUUGGCAGAGACUAAUUUAACAGUUUGGCCGAGUACUUCUACAGGGAGAUCUUCAGGCUGGUUAUAUUUGUGUGGUAGGUAGCACAAUCCCUUUUUCUCAAUGGGGCUCCACAUAUAGAAGUCAAGGGGAUUCAGGAUGGGGGAUGUCUGAGGCCAAAGUUUAUUUUGAAUGUAUUUUUAUAUUAUGUCGUCGUCUAGGACGUCUGCAAAAUGAUUUUUGCAGGGAGUAAGGGAAAGCCGUUGGACUUUUUAAACUACUUUGAACGUAUUUUUUUAUAAAUGCCAAAUUUAACUAAGGGCUUUAGAAGAUUUUAAAGAAUUUUUAGAAGGGGCAAUAAAGUUAUAUUUGAUGUUUAGAGUUAAAAUUUUUGGGAAGAGACCAAAUUUGAAGGAGUACUCAUAGUAUUUUUUUUUGUGGAUAGUUUUAGAGUUUCAAAUUUUGAAAUGGACAUAAUUUGAACAAAUAACAUUGUUCUCGAAAAUGAUGACAUGUAUCAUUUUUUAUAAAAGACUGGGGGGAAAAUGUGAUUAGGAUAACUCUGUCAAUUUCUCAAAAAUAGGAGGGAGGAAUGGGCAUUUGUUCAUACACCAAAGAAGCUGUUGAGAACAGAAAAACAUUAUGGGCUAAAACUCUUUUUUUCAGAGGCUAUCCAUUUUGCCAUUUACCAGACUGGAGGAAUGUCUAUUCCAAUUACUCUUAACAUCAGUGUUGAUUGACCUUCCCAUUUAUAAAACACUUGGGGCUAGAUCCUAUGGAUUUCUGGGGAUAUACCGUGUGCCCUCAAAACAAGUACACUAAAUAAUUUGCGGAAUUACUUGCAUUGUAGCUCAAACAUUUGAAAAGACCUUUGAUGUUUAUUGACAUGUAAUAUAAUAAUUAUUUUUAAGCUCCAGAGUCAACAAAUUAUCUCUAAAUGUUUGGCUAUAAUUAAAGGACAAAUAAGGAAGUGAAUGUUUCUUCAAAAAGUGUUCGAGCCCUACUGAGACACACUGUAACAUAUUAAUCACCACUACUUGCCUAAUAUGACGACGAAAAUAAAUUCAAUGUCGGUCCGUUCUAUAUACACAUUCAGAAAGAAAAUCGAACAUUUAUGUCCUUAUUUAGGACUGAAGACUGCAAUACCGUUCCGAUCUAGUUCAGUCCUAAAACUUAUAAGUUCUAGUACUGAUAGUCUGAAGGAACGACGGUUUUAAGGACUGGUCACAAGGGCUAAUAGUACCGGUCCUAAGACUGAACUGGACCGAACUCACACAACACUAUGUACUGCUGAUAUUGUAAGCAAGUCAGAGACGCAGAUGUUCUGAUCAAACGUUAGUGAUUUCUUUUACUAAUUUCUCUCUCAACGAUACAGGAUACACAAUUAUAUCAAGGAACACGCAUAUUUUCAACAUUGGAAAUUUUAGAUGUCUUACAUAAGUCGGUACGAAAUCAAUCAUAAAAAUACGAUCUAAAAAAGAUAUUUGUAAGUGUGACUCUUGCAAAUAAUAAAUAACGUCAACUUCAGCUUAUUUUUGAUGAGGUUUUAAAUAAAAGAUGACGUCAUCGAUUAGUUGCGAAGGAAUUAUUUUACAUUACAAAUAAAUGCUGGCCUGGAAGAUUCAAGGCAUGGGCUUUUUGGGGUUGGCAAAAUAAGGUUGAGACAGCGUGCUUUCCGGCUUUGAUCUAGACCGAUCCACCUCUAAUACAUACAUGUAUAUGAGAGGAAAUGUCCUUAUCAAGUCGAGUCUCAAGUCUUUGAGCACAAAGAUAAGCCACGAAACUAUAGAGUAUGUCAUUGCGAGUAUUGAGCAAAUUUUCUCAAGCUCAACUUUAUCAAGAUUCUCAAAAAGUUCAAAUAGUGAGACAAUGAGACGUUAUAUGUUUUACGUGAUAUAAACAAUCAAAUAUCAAAGUGGGCACUCAAUUAUGGCCUCGAUCUUAGACCCGAAGGCCUGCAGGUUUUCUUCACGUUUAGUCUUGUGGCGGUGGUUCUUAUUUAUUAGGUUGAAUCCAGUCUUAGGACCAGUCCUUGGAAUUUUUCAUAAAAAUAUCCAUGGUUUAUCAAGGCAAAUAAGAUAUAUGAAAUAUGUCUUAAGAUUAUUGCACAUAUUUGCAAGAAAUACUACAUUUAGCAUGAUAAUGAAAUAUAACACGAACAUAUUA